AAAGCAUGGGCAAUGUCGCCGUAUUAUUAAUUUUACUGUAAGUUUUGAUAUCAUCUUCGCGGAAGUGGUCUUUUUCCUGACAAGUUGCGAACUUUUUCUUCGCUUCGCGCGAGCAUCCUGAAGCUCGCGGUUCACGCGCACGUAACUAAAAGAAGAAAAGGAACCGUUCCAUUCGCGAGCGCCAUUGACUGUGGAAGACUCAAGCUCGCAUCGAAGUAGCCUUCAUUCAUAUGGAGCAUAUGAACGUCUGCGAAAGAUUGUUUGUGGAGCGAGUGGGGAAAAAAGGGUUUUUUACGAAGCUGUGUCUAACAACAAGCAGCGCAAAAGAAGCUCCAUCCAACAAAUAUGAUCUCUGGAAAACAAAUUCACCUCGGACGGGCGAAGCUUGUUACCCUUCCUAGAAAUAGUGCACGGCCAUUUCACAUCGUAACCAACAACUGCCAACUGUAUUGAAGAAUUAAUGCUUCAUUAGGGCAGUACUACAGGUUCACUGAUACAGAAAUAUUUCAAGGCCCUGCAAUCUAGUCAGAAACAAUUGUCAAUGAAGUUAUCCUCUGUGAGGCCAACGGCUAUCACCUAUGCCUUUUAAGAUGUGACGAGUAUUCCAUCGAACAAGGGUUCAUACGGGCAUUCCACUGAUUCAUUUACUCAGAAUGGGCUUCAGCUCGGCUCUGCUUUCAUCGCUUCUUUUGUCCCGAAUGGAGUCUGGAUGAAGCUGGAUAAGUCCGAGGAAUGAAUUGUGCUCACGCCACGUGUGAAUAGUUUUAACGUUUUUUUUUUUUUUUCGUUGACUUAUGACGUUGAGUGCGAAGCGGCUGUUCGAAUAAAUAAUCGCUGCACGAGACGCCAUCCAUUCAAUGUGGCCUGCGCUAAUGUUCGCAGGCGCACCGUUCGCGGAGGCCAUGGCAAAAUAAAAUGUUUUGAAACAAA
rnacentral:lncRNA from 1 species